CUGUGUGAAAAAAAGAAGAGUGUGACAGAAUUGUCCUGGUACUCGUCUUCCUCUCCCUCGUGCAGGAAUUUUUCUAUCUUUCUGUGUGUUCAUAUGUACUGUAUUGCUGCUUUUCCACACAAAAUCAGCC